rnacentral:rRNA from 1 species
GAUGGCGACCGGCGCACGGGUGAGUAACACGUAUCCAACCUGCCGAUGACUCGGGGAUAGCCUUUCGAAAGAAAGAUUAAUACCCGAUGCAUAGUUCUUCCGCAUGGUGGAACUAUUAAAGAAUUUCGGUCAUCGAUGGGGAUGCGUUCCAUUAGGUUGUUGGCGGGGUAACGGCCCACCAAGCCUUCGAUGGAUAGGGGUUCUGAGAGGAAGGUCCCCCACAUUGGAACUGAGACACGGUCCAAACUCCUACGGGAGGCAGCAUG